AAGGAUUAGAAACAUAGAAGUACUACA
rnacentral:sRNA from 1 species